rnacentral:lncRNA from 1 species
UACUGUUGGAUUGUGGUUUGUUACUGCAUCUGAGCAAUUUAAGCAAAUUAUCUGGUCAUUUUUACGUUGAGUCGAGGAACUGCUCCUCCGUACUCUAUCUGUUGAUAGUACUUUAGCGAAAGGACGCUUUAUUACUUGUGUUGUGUGUGUGUACGUGCUUCAAAAUGACGAGUUUGCAAUGCAUCAAUUGCAACGUUCGCUUGUCGCGAAUACGAAGGCAUGCUUUAUCCGAUGAGAGUGAAGAUAUCGUCAAUACUAUUCGGCUGUGGACAUAUCCUAGAGAUAUAACACCUGCCAUGACCAUGCCUGACCAUGUUUGCCGCACGGAACAAAUAUUUGAAUGAUCUGCAAGUAGUUGUUCUGGGUCUGGGUAUUUCUGCACAUGAGUUUCUAUGUUGAUGAAAUAAUACUAAGAAUAGAUUAAAUAAUUAUAAGAACAAUAAAAUAGAUGUAUAUUCCUACAAAAACAAA